AGUGAACGCUGGCGGUAGGCCUAACACAUGCAAGUCGAACGGCAGCACAGUAAGAGCUUGCUCUUACGGGUGGCGAGUGGCGGACGGGUGAGGAAUACAUCGGAAUCUACUUUUUCGUGGGGGAUAACGUAGGGAGACUUACGCUAAUACCGCAUACGACCUACGGGUGAAAGCAGGGGAUCUUCGGACCUUGCGCGAUUGAAUGAGCCGAUGUCGGAUUAGCUAGUUGGCGGGGUAAAGGCCCACCAAGGCGACGAUCCGUAGCUGGUCUGAGAGGAUGAUCAGCCACACUGGAACGGAAACACGGUCCAGACUCCUACGGGAGGCAGCAGUGGGGAAUAUUGGACAAUGGGCGCAAGCCUGAUCCAGCCAUACCGCGUGGGUGAAGAAGGCCUUCGGGUUGUAAAGCCCUUUUGUUGGGAAAGAAAAGCAGCAGGUUAAUACCCCGCUGUUCUGACGGUACCCAAAGAAUAAGCACCGGCUAACUUCGUG
rnacentral:rRNA from 1 species